rnacentral:rRNA from 1 species
UACAGAGGUCUCAAGCGUUGUUCGGAUUCAUUGGGCGUAAAGGGUGCGUAGGCGGUGAGGCAAGUCUGGUGUGAAAUCCCCGGGCUCAACCUGGGAACUGCAUCUGUGACUGCAUAGCUAGAGUACGGUAGAGGGGGAUGGAAUUCCGCGUGUAGCAGUGAAAUGCGUAGAUAUGCGGAGGAACACCGAUGGCGAAGGCAAUCCCCUGGACCUGUACUGACGCUCAUGCACGAAAGCGUGGGGAGCAACAGG